AUGUCACCGCUGUCCCCCCGGAUUAGGGGUGACAUCACCGCCCCCUACUUAAGGCUCCCCCCGCCGCGGGGGUGCCUCCCCUGCCACCGCCGCUGUCACCGUGCCACCGGCGUGCCACCAGCGCCGUGCCACCGGUGUGCCACCAGCACCGUGCCACCAGCGCCGUGCCACCAGCGCCACUGUCACCGUGCCACCAGCGCCGUGCCACCAGCGCCACUGUCACCGUGCCACCAGCGUGCCACCAGCGCCGUGCCACCAGCGCCGCUGUCACCGUGCCACCAGCGCAGGUACGGCCGGGCGGGGGGCGCGGAGCCACCACGGGGAUGGGGACAUGGGGACAGGGCCACCAGGGCCUUGGGGACAUGGGGACAGGGCCACCAGGGAGAUGGGGACAUGGGGACGGGGCCACCAGGGCCUUGGGGACAUGGGGACAGGGCCACCAGGGAGAUGGGGACAUGGGGACGGGGCCACCAUGGGGAUGGGGACAUGGGGACAGGGCCACCAGGGAGAUGGGGACAUGGGGAUGGGGCCACCAGGGCCUUGGGGACAUGGGGACAGGGCCACCAUGGGGAUGGGGACAUGGGGACGGGGCCACCAGGGAGAUGGGGACAUGGGGAUGGGGCCACCACGGGGAUGGGGACAUGGGGACAGGGCCACCAUGGGGAUGGGGACAUGGGGACGGGGCCACCAUGGGGAUGGGGACAUGGGGACGGGGCCACCAGGGAGAUGGGGACAUGGGGAUGGGGCCACCACGGGGAUGGGGACAUGGGGACAGGGCCACCAGGGCCUUGGGGACAUGGGGACAGGGCCACCACGGGGAUGGGGACAAGGGGACAGGGCCACCAGACCCUUGGGGACAUGGGGACAGGGCCACCAGGGAGAUGGGGACAUGGGGACGGGGCCACCAGGGCCUUGGGGACAUGGGGCUGGGGCCACCACAGGGAUGGGGACAUGGGGACGGGGCCACCAGAGCCUUGGGGACAUGGGGACGGGGCUACCAGGGAGAUGGGGACAGGGGGACGGGGCCACCAGAGCCUUGGGGACAUGGGGACAGGGCCACAAGGGAGAUGGGGACAUGGGGACAGGGCCACCAGAGCCUUGGGGACAUGGGGACAGGGCCACCACGGCCUUGGGGACGGGGACAGGGCCACCAGAGCCUUGGGGACAUGGGGAUAG
rnacentral:lncRNA from 1 species